AUUGAACGCUGGCGGCAUGCUUUACACAUGCAAGUCGAACGGUAACAGGGAGCUUGCUCCGCUGACGAGUGGCGAACGGGUGAGUAAUGCAUCGGAACGUGCCGUGUAAGUGGGGGAUAACGUAGCGAAAGUUACGCUAAUACCGCAUACGCCUGAGGGGAAGUGGGGACCGCAAGGCCUCACGUUAUACGAGCGGCCGAUGUCGGAUUAGCUAGUUGGUGGGGUAAAGGCCUACCAAGGCGACGAUCCGUAGCGGGUCUGAGAGGAUGAUCCGCCACACUGAGACUGAGACACGGCCCAGACUCCUACGGGAGGCAGCAGUGGGGAAUUUCGGACAAUGGGGGCAACCCUGAUCCAGCCAUGCCGCGUGAGUGAAGAA
rnacentral:rRNA from 1 species